rnacentral:rRNA from 1 species
UACGUAGGCAGCGAGCGUUGUUCGGAAUUACUGGGCGUAAAGAGUGUGUAGGCGGUGCUCUAAGUUCGGUGUGAAAUCUCCUGGCUCAACUGGGAGGGUGCGCCGGAAACUGGAGUGCUUGAGCGUGGGAGAGGAAAGCGGAAUUCCUGGUGUAGCGGUGAAAUGACGUAGAUAUCUGGAGGAACACCGGUGGCGAAGGCGGCAUCCUGGACCGACACUGACGCUGAGGAGCGAAAGCCAGGGGAGCAAACGGG